rnacentral:lncRNA from 1 species
AAAUACAGGGUAUCUUCUCCAAGAAAUGAUCGUUUACCAUUCUAUGUUGUUGGUAAUGGUGUACAUUGUCUCACACAUUUCCACAUUUAUUCUUGUAGGGACAAUUGUGGACUAUAUGUCAUAAAGUAUACGGAAUUCAUUAUGCAUCAAGAGAUGAGUAUGAUGUCGAAGAAUGUUGAUCCUAGAAGUUUGCAGCCGCAAUAGGCAGUGCAAAUUUAUAAGCAUGCGUGUGAGAAGAUAAAAUGAGGCUACGAAACAGAUUUUGAUCUCAUCGUGUCCCAUGUAGAGUGAGAAGGAAGAGAAAGACGAGGGCUUUGAAGAAUGUCUGGCUUAGUAGUAUUCAUGUACGUUUAGUGAUCACGCUAGAUUGUCUAGUUGGU